rnacentral:rRNA from 1 species
GAUGAACGCUGGCGGCGUGCUUAACACAUGCAAGUCGAACGGUGAACACGGAGCUUGCUCUGUGGGAUCAGUGGCGAACGGGUGAGUAACACGUGAGCAACCUGCCCCUGACUCUGGGAUAAGCGCUGGAAACGGCGUCUAAUACUGGAUAUGUGACGUGACCGCAUGGUCUGCGUUUGAAAAGAUUUUUCGGUUGGGGAUGGGCUCGCGGCCUAUCAGCUUGUUGGUGAGGUAAUGGCUCACCAAGGCGUCGACGGGUAGCCGGCCUGAGAGGGUGACCGGCCACACUGGGACUGAGACACGGCCCAGACUCCUACGGGAGGCAGCAGUGGGGAAUAUUGCACAAUGGGCGCAAGCCUGAUGCAGCAACGCCGCGUGAGGGAUGACGGCCUUCGGGUUGUAAACCUCUUUUAGCAGGGAAGAAGCGAAAGUGACGGUACCUGCAGAAAAAGCGCCGGCUAACUACGUG